rnacentral:rRNA from 1 species
GGCGGCGAGUGGCGAACGGGUGAGUAAUACAUCGGAACGUGCCCAGUAGUGGGGGAUAGCUCGGCGAAAGCCGGAUUAAUACCGCAUACGACCUGAGGGUGAAAGCGGGGGAUCUUCGGACCUCGCGCUAUUGGAGCGGCCGAUGGCAGAUUAGCUAGUUGGUGGGGUAAAGGCCUACCAAGGCGACGAUCUGUAGCUGGUCUGAGAGGACGACCAGCCACGCUGGGACUGAGACACGGCCCAGACUCCUACGGGAGGCAGCAGUGGGGAAUUUUGGACAAUGGGCGAAAGCCUGAUCCAGCAAUGCCGCGUGUGUGAUGAAGGCCUUCGGGUUGUAAAGCACUUUUGGCGGGAACGAAAAGGACCGUGCUAAUACCAUGGUUCGAUGACGGUACCCGCAGAAUAAGCACCGGCUAACUACGUG